rnacentral:rRNA from 1 species
UACGGAGGGUGCAAGCGUUAUCCGGAUUUACUGGGUUUAAAGGGUGUGUAGGCGGGUCUAUAAGUCAGUGGUGAAAUCUCCGGGCUCAACCCGGAAACUGCCAUUGAUACUAUAGGUCUUGAAUAUUGUGGAGGUGGGCGGAAUGUGUCAUGUAGCGGUGAAAUGCUUAGAGAUGACACAGAACACCGAUUGCGAAGGCAGCCCACUACGCAACUAUUGACGCUGAGGCACGAAAGCGUGGGGAGUCAAACAGGAAUUAAG